rnacentral:misc_RNA from 1 species
GAAACGAUGUCGUAUCGUAACGUGAUGUUGCGUUUUCUUGGUACUGGAUGAACCUUCAUGAUUUUAAGGUUAGAAGAAAAAGAAUUAAAAAAAAACAAUUUUACAAAAAUUGGGUCAAGAGAAUUAUUUUAUGAGAAAAAGAAAGGUUAAAGCAAUGGAGAAUUUGCAGAGAAUAGUUAUUUUGUGGGUAAAGUACAGUGGAA